GUGGAUCUUUUCAUUGUGGGGUGUGAGGAAAUAGAACGACUCAUUUUAGCCAAGGAUCAGGUUUCUUCAUCAUCAUCAAAUGGUGAUACUAGCCUCCAACCUAUGACCUUUCCCAAUUUGACUCGGAUCGUUGUUACAAAUUGUAAAAAAUUGAGUAGUCUCUUUCCUUUUGGAUUUGUUCCUGUUCUUCCAAAGCUUGAAAGUCUCAUAGUUAAAAGGAAUUCUAAAUUGGAACAAGUAUUCGAAUUAGAAGAAAAAGUGGAAGUGGUAGCUGAAGAGGAGAUGAAAUUUGAUAAAUUAAAAAGGUUAUCACUUGAAGAACUACCUGGCCUCAUUCACUUUUGUCCCAAAGGAUAUCAUUCUGUAUUCCCAACAAUGAUAGAGUUGAAAGUAAGAGAUUGCCCUAAGUUGACUACUGGUUUCUUCAUUGAUUCACAGGAAUUUGUACAUUGCAAAACGAAGGUAUAUAUCCUACAACCCUUUAAUCCUACUUUAUUCUAUGUAAUUAUAACAAUUACAACUGAAGGCAUAACAUGCAAAAUUUUUAAUUAAAUUCCUUGAGUAUCUAUGGGUUUCUUAUUUUUUUCCUUGAUGACAUGAGAUUAAAGUUUCAGUUGCUUGAGCAAGAUGCGGUUGAAGAGUCUACCACUGUUCGAAAUACAAUUUUCAACAAGAAUAUAAAUUGGAGCCGAUGAUGGGGGUGAGAGUCAACUACCACACAUUACAUGAAAGAAUGGAUGAUUUUAAGGUAGCUUUCAAAGCCAUGUUACAUCAGUAGGUGGAGCAAUGUUGCUCGGAUGUUUUUAGUUAAGUGUCUGAUAUAAUUUGUGUGUGAUGGAACAUGACCUUUAGCGGCGCUUUUUCCACAAACGCUGUUAUAGAACAUGAUCUUUAAAAAUAAUUAUUUUAAUUAAAUAAUAUUUAUUUCUAUGAUAAAAUAUUAUUUUAUGUUUUAUUUUUGAAAUUUGAACUUUAAACUAUAUACUAAAUAGAAAAAUAUUAAUUAAAUUAAAUUUUCUAUUAAAAUUUUAAAUUUAAAACUAAAUAUAAAAAUUAAUGAAUUUAAAUUUAGAAUUUAAAUAUUAUGUUUUUAAUUCAAGUUCAACUUUUGGCACACCUUACAAACAUGGGCUCUAAACAGGGAGAAAGAAUGCAUCUCGGGCAACAAAAAUCAAAACAAUACAAAGGUAAUAUCUUCAAUAAUUUUAUCAAUAUCGAUACGGUACAAUAACCCUGCUCACAAGUUACAAUCAUUGUUAUGCCCGAGUCAUAAUAUUUAUAUACCAACAAUGAAGGAUCCAACCUCAUAAUCAAUGAACCUAAUCUAGUUAGGAGCUACAAUUUCCGCUAUAUCUUCAAAUUCCCAAAUAAGGUCUAAUCUCCAAAAUUUCAAAAUCCCUGAGGUUAAAGAGUGCAAACCAGUCAUGAAAAUUCUCAUUCUACCUGUGCUAACUGAGUCCCAUGUCCAUUUGGAGCAAGCAAAACAAGACCAUGCAGGACAUUUCUAAAUCCAACUAUCUCAAUUAGGCCAUCAUCUACAAAAGGAGUCAAGCCUCUCUAUAAACUAGAAUCCCCAAUCAAAAUCUUCUGGUUAGAAAUUAGUUUGUUAGAGCAGAUAAAAUUAUUUUAAAUAACAGUAUUUUAAAUAAUAGUAGUUUAAUUUUUUCAUUUUUAACAUAUAUUUUUCUAUGGUUUUACUUUCAAAUGUUUUCUACAUGUCAUUAAUUUUUCUGAAGAUUUUUAAUAUUAAAUUAAAAAUAAAUUGUAUUUUAAUUAAUAUAAAGAAACUAGUUAAAUAAUAAAUAGAAGAGGAUGAAAGAGUGCAUGAGUUGUCGAAAAGAAUACAUGAUUGGCCACUUGGAUGAUGGGUGAGAAUACAGGGAGCAAAACGGCGCCGUUUGUUUAAAAUAAAAUGAUUUUUUGCAGUAUAUAAGAACGCCGCUAAUGCUUGACUUUUUACGGUAUUUUUCUCAUAAGCGCCGCUAUUGCUAGACCUUCUGCACGCCACUACUAGACCUUUUGCGGCAUUUUUUUCAUAAAUGCGCUAUAGCUCUAACCUUUUGCAGCAUUUUUUGAUUAGCGCCUCUAAUGUAUAACUUUUACGGUGUUUUUGGUCCAAACGCCACUAAAAAUGCCGCUAAAAGCUUAAUUUCUUGUAGUGAUUUAAGUCUUAUGUCCAUUUUCGAUUCACAAGAAUUCUAUGAAUUUUAAAAAAAUAGCCUUACAUGGAGAUGAUAGUCCACGGUCUAUUUCCUAAGAACCACAACCUUGACAAUAAAAAACAAUUUAUAACAAAUAUAUAAUAUCACAUCCAUUCUUAUAUAUAACUCAAAACAUACAUAAGAUCUAAAGAAUGUCACUCUCUAUGUGAUCAAAUCAUUCAAGAAGAAGUGAAAUUUAUUUUGAUUAUCUGUUUAUACUUAUAGAUAGAGCACAAAAUGGCUCUGUUUAUAUAACAAACAUAAAUAUCAUUCACAAUCUAGACAAUUAUAUAUAACAUUAAUUUAGUCAAUCAUGUCAUGGAUUCUAGCAAUUUUCCAUGUUAUCAGGGACUUAAUUGAAUAAAAAUAAAACACUAAAAAAUAGUUCAAAAACUAUUCCGGGACUAAACUGAACAAAUCAUAAAAUUCUAGGUAAAAAUUUAAAAUAGGGGCACAUGGCCGUGUGCAAUGCCUUCAGCCAUGCGAAGGGGUUACACUAUCGUGUGAUAGACUGUGGCCGUGUGGGUCAUGCAAAACCAAGGUGCAAGGGAGACACAGUCAUAUCAAGGGUCCUAGGCCAUGUGAGAAUCGAAGAUCCUUGGGUUUCAGGGGGACAUGGUCGUGUGAGGGGCCGUGUGACCCACACACUUGUGUGGUGCUAUCAUAGGCACGAUUUUUCCCCGAUUCAUCGAGAUCUUGAGCGAUGUCCCUCACGUUCAAAUCUGAUCCAGUAUCCCUAAAUUGGGUCCUUCAAACGACAAUUAUACAAGAGUUAACAUUUGUAUAUUAACAAAAGAUUUUUCAAGAACCGUGAAAGAUUAACUAAUUGAUUUGAAAGAUCAAUAUCGGAUAAAAAAUUUAUGAAAUUUGUUCUGCUGAUUCACCAAGUUUGAGGAUAGACAUGAUUGAUGUUGUUUCCAAGCUUUGUUCUAUUAGAUGCAAGCUUCUUACCAAACGUUAUAUGAUGCUAAAUCCGCAGGUAUAUAAUAACGUCUUCUUAUGCUGAAGUAUACAACUUGCGUUAUUCUUAAAAAAAUCAAUCAUUACAUUACUUAAAACACAUUGAAUUCCACUACGUGAUAAAUCCUUGUUUUCAAAUUUUGUAGGUACCUAAGGUGCCAUAAUAUCAAUGGAAUCGAGCGGCUUAUUGUAGGCAAAGUGCAACUACUCUCCUUUAUUCAUAUUGUAUUGUGUAUUUUCAGGACUUGAUUUCUCCUAAGAAAACUCGACUUUAAGAAUAAUAUGUUAUAUAGUGUGUGUUUGUAAUUUCUAUUAAACAUAAACCACUUCCCUUUGUAAAUCCAUAAAUUAGAACUUUGUGCUGGUAACUAAAUCUACUAUGUUCUUCUAUUGCAUAUUUGCAACUAUUGUAUAUUUUGCCUUUGAAUUUUAUUUCUUUAACAAAUAACGAAAUUCGGAUUACAUAAUCUAACAUAUCUAUAUUUAUUAUAUAAAUCUUAUAUAUUUCUAAUUUUAAUAUUCUUUAAGAGUCCAAAUAUAAAUGAUAAAAGAAAUCAAAAAUCAAAAAUUGUUUUAAUUCAAAUCAUGAAUAUUCUAUCAAUUUUAAUAUUCAAAUCACAAAUUUAUAUUUUCUUUUUAUUUUUUUAAGAUUUUUAUUUUUUAUACUUUUUAUAAUUAAGUUUAGAAUGAUAAAUCUUGUAAAUAGUGAAGACUGGAUUUAUUUUAGAUUUGAGGUCAAAUUGAUUAAAUGUGUAAAUUAUAAAUGCCUAAAUUUAUUAUUAAACUAAUAAAACAAAACUCAUGUUAGACUUCCGUUAGAAAAUUAAAGAAAAAGUGACUAAAAUUCAAUUUCAAAAAAUUAAAUGAUUAAGAAAAAAAAUAAUAGUUAAGUGUCAAUGAACUAAAUAGUUGGGUUACAAUAAAACAUCUCAAUUGAGGAUAAUUUCUGGUUUUCAACUUUGGUCAGCACAAAGCAUAGUGGUUCAGCAUGUUUAAACCAUAUAUCUUAAUAUUAUUUAUAAUUGAGGAAUAUCAUGUAAAAAUAUAAUUCUUAAUUAUUAAGUAAUAAUUUCAAUUUUUAAAAAUUUUUUUGUUACAAUCAGGAUCGAAGUCAAGAAAAAAUUUUAGGGGGCCAAAAUGAAAUUUUAAUUUUUAUUAGUCUAUAUCUUUAUAAUUUUUAAAGAAUUAAAUUAAAAUUUCAUAAUUUUAAGGAGUAAAGUGUAAUUUUAUCUUUACUAAUUUAAAAUUUUAAAAUUUUCUAAAGAGCUAAAACAACAAUUUUCCAUUUUAAAAGGAGCUGAGGACCCUGCCAGUCCCCUGGGUUCACCUCUAGUUACAAUAUUAGGGAAGAGGAGGGGAUAAUAAGGUUUCAAUUCGCAUUAUCUAAGUAUUAGACAAAAGCUUUAACCACUAUUUCCAAUAAGUCUUGGUAACUUUCAAUCAGAUUAAAAUAUGUCAAGUUCUUGUACUUAUUCCAAAUUUGAAAUUGACUACGUGUACUUUUAUUUUAGGAAUUUAAUCCUACUUUUCAAAUUUCAAAAUUAAAAUCCAAUUAUUAUCAUUGUUAAAUUUAUGAGUAAACUAUUAAAAUAGUCACUUUUAUUUACCUCGGGUUACAUUUUAGUCACUUAUGUUUGAAAUGUUACUUUUGAGUCGUUACGUUAACGCGUUGUAACAUUUUAGUCACUGAGCCAUUAGUUACCGUUAAUGGUGUAACGGUAAACUGACAUGGCACGUUAAAUUUUCAUUUCAAACAAAAAUUUUAGAUUAAAUUAUAAAAUUGGUCACCAUAUUUUUUUUUUGUUUUAGACAAUUUAAUUUUUUCUUUUAUGCUCUUUCAACUUUUUUUUUCUUUAUUUUUCAUUCUCUUUUGCUUCUCCCUUCGUAUUUCUCCCUUCUCCAUCUCUUUUAAUGUAGUUUUUCUAUAUUUUUCAUUUGUUAAAGUCUUUUUAAUGUUUAUGAAAAAAGAACAUGUGAAAGCUGAAACCAAAAUAAAACUUGCUUCGCAUAUUCUUACCGCACAAUUACAAACCCUUAUUUUCCAUUACCACUUUAACGAAUCAAUUUGGAUCUCUCAAUGACCAUCUUAUCUAUCUUACCUACAACAUUCUCUCCCUCUUGAAACUACAUUAUUUUACGAAUUCUUCAAACGAGCUCUACAUUCUUAAUGACUAAAACGACCACUAUACGAAACUUACCAUCAACUUUAUCCAAACCAGUUUGGUUCCAUGCUCCCUUUCUCUCUUCGGUUCAUCUAUGCUUGCUUCCAAUCAAACUUGUUUGGGAAUAUCCAAGAAGGUUUAAAUCAAUUUUAUCGUUUGCUUAAUUUUAUUUGUCUGAAAAUAAAAGAAAGAAAAGGAAUAAUCUACAGGAUUGGGUAAAAGUUUGGAAAUAGAAAAAAAUUGUUUUAAAUAUAAAAAAAAUCAAUUUUAAAAAUUUUCCAAAAAAUUUAAAAGUAUACUUUUAUUUUGUGAAAAAUAAAAUAAAAUUACAUCCAAUCAACUACUAAAAAACACUAAAUGCUUUGUCUUGUUGAAGGUUCAUAGAUAGAGUGUCAAGAGGCACUUCAAAGAUCUGUAAGCUUGCUUGUCAUGUAAGGCUAAUUUUUACCAGUUGAUCUACAAUUAAAAUGCAAUCCCUAGGUACGUAUCUGAUCUCCCAUUGUUCUUCGGAACGCAUAAGUUAUUGAAUCCUUAUGAGUAAGGUAAUACCUAAGUACACUGACUUCUUCAUGGUCAAAACUUUAACCACCUUCAAAUUAUUUAUCUGAAUUGUGGCUCUCUUGUAACCCUUAUUUAAUAAGAUGAAGAGUCCAUCUAGAAAACCACAAAGUUCCAUCUCAAAAGGUGAGCAUCUGCCUAGAUAGUGAUUAAAGCCCAAUAUCUAAUUUUCAAACUGAUCACAAAGCAACCCCCCAACAGAAGCAUUCCUGAAAUCUCUGCUCCAUCAGAGAAUUGAUGUACCUAAUUUCCUUCAUAGUGUGAGUGGAAUAGCGAAUUAAGAGGAUUAGCCUGGGAACCGUUAAGAAAAGGUUCAAACUAUUGUUCACAACUUAACGAGACUUUGACAAUUUCAUAAGCCGUCCAAGUAAUAUUUUGGAAGAUGAAUAAAUUUAUGUUAUUCCAAAUUCUCCAUGCAAUUAAACUGAACAAACAUGACCAAGUAACUCCGCUAUCUUGCAUCUUAAAAUGACAAUAUAGAUUAGAGGAAAACCAAAUUUGAAAAGGAUCAGAAAAGAACCUGUGUAGCUUCUGAGAUGGAACCACAUGCACCCAUACUUCUUUUGCUAUCAUACAGUCCCGAAGAACAUAUAAAAUGUCUUCUGUAUCAUGUCCACAAAGAAGACAAUAGUUGGUGUGGCCAAUUCCUCUCCUAGUAUAUAAGCUCUGAAUUAGUGAGAAGUCUUUGUUUUGAUACUAGCCAACGGAAAAAAAUGGACUCUUUGGGGGCCUUGAUAUUUUCAAGUAUCCUUCCAACUGUCUUCUUUGGGGUUCCAAAAGUCUUCUUUUAAGGCCCAAUGAUCAUUGCGAACAAAGAAAGACCUUGACCUUGAACAAGCCCAGAUGACCCUAUCCUCCCCACUAGUAGAAUGUGGGGAGAUACUCACUAUACGCUUAAUCACCUUUUCGGGCAGUCAAAUACAAAACAAAUCCAAGUUCUAUGAUCUAUCAAGUAAUACCCAAUCUCUCAGAGUGCACUCCAAAUCUAGUCUUGUACGAAUUGGAGCAUAUGACAGUAGAAGACCACUUCCCAGUACCCAAGAAUCCUUCCAACAAUGAAUACUAGAACCAUUACCAACAGACCAAAUUAGAUUCUCAUGAAAUAGAGGCCAAACCUUAGAAAGGGAGUGCCAUAGGUGUGAGCUUUGGCUUCUAGAAAUGGAUUUCGGAAUGUGACUGUUCCAUCCACAUUUUAAACGAAUGACUCAAACCCAUAAAGCAUCCUCCAUGGUGACCAAAUUGAAACCAAACCUUCAUAAGAAGGGAAUUAUUUUGAUCCUUGAGAUGCCGAAGUCUAAGACCACCUUGAGACCUUGGCUGAUAGAUGGACUCCCACCUCACCACAACAAGUUUUGGCUGUCCAGCAGAACAACUCCAUAUAUACUGCCUUAUUAUCUUCUUGAACUCGAUCAUAAAGGAGGGGCACCCCCAAGUAGAUCCCAAGAUUUAAGAAAUUUCUGAAACCCAAAUAUCUGGCUAAUCUGAACACACAAAUCAGUCUCAACUACUUUGGAAAAAUACAUGUUACUUUUCCUUACACUAAUUUUAUGCCCAGAAAAAUCACAAAACUGAUUCAGAAUUCCUUUUAACAAAUAAACUUGUUCCACCUUCGCUUUGCCGAAAAUGACUAGAUCAUCUGAAAAAAAAAAAAAAAAAAGACGAGAUAAUGCUGAACCCGAUCUUGAUAGUCAAAUUGAAUUCCACCGACCAACAUCUAUUUCCGUACAAAUAAUGUGACGAAAAAAAAAUCAGAAUUUUUUAGAGAGAUAUAUAUGGAAGGUUGCAUUGUUUUAUACAAAUAUCUUAACUAUCAGAAUAUUUUAGAUUUCUCCUUACAUUUUCUUUGUAUUUUCUAUCUAUUAUAUAUUUUUCCAAAAAAUAUAUAUUAUUAAAGUUUCUGUAAAUUUUUUAUAAUUAUAUAUAUAAUUUUCUGAUUUUUUAAAAUUUUUUGAGAUUUAAAAAGCUUCCUUUUUUUCUAAAAAAAAAAGAAAAAUAUUUUCUUAAUAUUUUCUCUAUGCACAACAUUGGUUUAACCUACAAACUAAUACUUAGAUUAUGUCAUUUUUUUCAUCUUCGUGCUUAAACUUUUUUUGUCACAAGUAGUACAUAAAUUAUUUUUUUCUUAAAUUGGUAUCUCCAUUAGUCAAACCAUUAAGUCUAUUUAAAAAAAAAAACUUAACCCACAAAUUACGACCUAAACAAUACUCUCUUUUUCGACAAUUGUUUUAUUCUAAAAAUAAAAAUAAAAUAAAUAAACAUAAAAAAGUGAAACCAAUUACUCCUAAUAAAAUGUCUUCGUCUUUCACUAAUUAAUGAUAUUUUUAAAUAAAAUAACUCUCACAAGUUUUAAAACGUAAGACUUGAUGAAAUUCUAUCUAUAAUUUAAACAAUUAAAUUUUAUUAUCCAUUUUUGUAUUAUGUGCAACUUGUAUAUUUAAUUUUUAUACUUUAAUUUAAUUAAUUUUUGUUCUUAAUUUUUUAAUUUUUAAAAUUUCAAUCAUGAUUAAUUAGCAUUUAUUAAAUUUUUUAGGUCAAAUUAUCCUAUUUGAUGUAUCACCUUGUCCAAUUGUUAACCACGUUAAAAAAAAUUCUUAUUUAUAUCUGUAUUUUUUCUCUUUUCUUUUUUUUUUGUAUUUUUAUCUAUAUCUGUAGAAGAGAAGUUUUUUUUAUACACGGUAAGUAAGCAAAGGAAGCAGGUAAGGUAAAAAUAGUAAAAAGUAAUUCGUCAACAAUGCCUGUGCCACUAGCGAAAGUGGUGAACAAACUUGAUAAUUAAUUAUUCAUCAAUAAUUCAUUAACAAUACCUAUCCCACUAGCAAAAGUGGUGACGACUCUUCGUAAUCAAUCAUCCAUCAUUCUUUUCUUCAAUUAUUUGAGGAGCGCAAAGAAAAGUAAACUCAAAUUAAUGGUGUUCUUUAAAUAUGGAAAUAUUUGUUCUGCUCUAAUCACAUGCCUUAACCACCAUUAUUGGCUUUUCGAGAACAAAAAUUUUAAUUUCUUAGUCUUAGAUCGAAUCGAGUAGAAUCAAAUAGAAAAAAUAUAAGCUAAUAAAUCUUAUUUUAUCAUCUUAACUUAAUUUAAAAUUUUCUUUUAAUUCAAAAUGCAAUUUUCAACGAGAAUAUAGAUUGGAGCAACUACCACAUAUUACAUGAAAGAAUGGAUGGUUUUAGGGUAGCUUUCAAAGCCAUGUUACAUCAGUAGGUGGAGCAAUGUUGCUUGGAUGUUUUUAAUUAAGUGUCUUAUAUAAUUUGUGUAUGAUAGAGCAUGAUUUUUGAAUUAUUAUUUUUGAAUUGUUAACAGUGUCCUUGGCAUUAUUUAAAUAUUCAUACUUAAUUAUUCAAAAGUGGUGAAGACUCUUCAUACUUAAUUAUUCAUCAUAAAAAUAGUAACAAGUAGCAGCAUCAAUAAUUCAUCAACGAUGCCUGUCCCAGUGGCGAAAGUGGUGAAGACUCUUGAUAAUUAAUUAUUCAUCAUAAAAAAAAAAAAAAAGUGACCGCGUGAAGAAUUCAUUGACAAUUCCUAAAAAGUAGUGAAGAAACCCACAAUCUCUCACUGUUCUUUUCUUCCAUUAUUUGAGGAGCGUAAAGAAAACUAAACUCAAAUUCAAAUUAAUGCUCUAAUCACACGGCUUAACCAUGGUUAUUCCUCUUUGGAUUUUUAUAAAUUAUUUUCAUUUCUUUUAUAUUUUUGUCCCAGAGAUCGAUUUAUUUAUUUUUAUGGGUAAAUCAAUUUAGAAUUCAUAUUGUAAUACCCUAAAAUUUAGCUAUUAUUGUAUUAAUCUAAAACGAAAUCUAAUUAAGAGGUCUAAUUUGAAAAUUGUGUGUUCUAACUAAAUUAGGACUUAACUAAAAAAGCGUAAAAAUAAAUUAAAUAUUAAUAGUGAGCCUAUAGUGUCUAUUUCAAGAAAAAAAUUAGAAUUCAUAUAAAUUCUAAAGCAAAUCAAGUUAUAAUUCAUAUCAACUUGGAAAAAUUAGGGGUGUGUCUAUUUCAAGAAAAAAAAUAGGAAUUUAAGUCAAAAGUUUCCUAAUGAAGUCCGUUGUCCUUUAUAUUUUAGGGCUUGGAUUGACACCCUACACAGUCAAAUAGCCUAUUAGUCGCCCUCGAAGUCCAUGUUGGCAUUAUGAGAUUUCAAAAUAUUAAAAAGUGCGUAAAAAUACUUAUUUUGUAAAUAAUUAAAUUUAAACUGCAAAAGCUGAAAAUGUAAUAAAUAAAUAUAAAAUAGCCAGAAAACAAGUUCGUGAAGUGUUGAAAUGUACUAAAACUACCACCACAAUUGACGGCAGGUCACACACCAUGAAUGCUAGAUGUGAAUUAAUUCACAAACGGAUUCAGUAUUAAUUCAACUUGGAUUCAAUUCAAUAUAUCAUUCUUCCAAUGAGUAUAUCUAUGUUUUUAACCAUGGUGUCAACUGUUGCGAUAGAUAAAAAAACAAUUUAAGACCAUAGUAAGGGAAAAUAAAGUUUGAAUUGUUAACACUGUCCUUGGCAUUAUUUUCUUUUUAAUUUCGUCCAAAGUCUCGGGCAGUGAUUUCUACUUUCCAGUAUGAAUUCAAUGAAAAUCAACAUUUCCCCUCAAUCAUAUCAUUGUAAACAAAACAUAUAUAUAUAUAUAAAUACCGUAUUUUCUUUUUCUUUUUUUCUUCAUUCGUUGUAAAAUAAAUAAAUAGAAAAAUGUUCAAAAAUUUAACAUUAUAAGCAUUUCAAAAAGAAAACACAUUCAAGAACGUAGGUUUACAUACCUUAUUUUCUUUUCUUAGUUACUUCCAAUCUCAAAUUAAAAAAAACCUAAAAAUUGCUUCUUAAAAAGAAAAUCAACUUUUCACCUCUGUCUUAUCAUCAUCCGUAAUUAUUCAUCAUAAAACUAAUGAAAAAGUAAGAGCGUGAAGAAAUCAUCCACGAUGCCUGUGUCUCACUACCAAAAGUGGUGAAGACUCUUCAUACGUAAUGAUUCAUCAUAAAAAUAAUAAAAAGUAACAGAAUAAUUUGUCAGCAAUGCCUGUCGCAGUAGCGAAAGUUGUGAAGAAUCUUGAUAAUUAAUUAUUCAUCAUAAAAAUAAUAGAAACAACAACGUGAAGAAUUCAUCAACAAUACCUUUCCCACUGGCAGAAGUGGUGAAGACCCUUCAUGCUUAAUUAUUCAUCAUAAAAAUAGUAACAAGUAGCAGCAUCAAUAAUUCAUCAACGAUGCCUGUCCCAGUGGCGAAAGUGGUGAAGACUCUUGAUAAUUAAUUAUUCAUCAUAAAAAUAAUAAAAAAAGUGACCGCGUGAAGAAUUCAUUGACAAUUCCUAAAAAGUAGUGAAGAAACCCACAAUCUCUCACUGUUCUUUUCUUCCAUUAUUUGAGGAGCGUAAAGAAAACAAAACUCAAAUUCAAAUUAAUGCUGUGAACUAAAUAUUUGUUCUGCUCUAAUCACAUGGCUUAACCAUGGUUAUUCCUCUUUGGAUUUUUAUAAAUUAUUUUUAUUUCUUUUAAAUUUUUGUUCGAGAGAUCGAUUUAUUUAUUUGUACGGGUAAAUCAGUUUAGAAUUCAUAUUGUAACACCUGAAAUUUAGAAGUCUAAAAUAAUUAGCUAUUAUUGUAUUAAUCUAAAAUGAAAUCUAAUUAAGAGGUCUAAUUUGAAUUAGGACUUAACUGAAAAAAGAGUAAAAAUAAAUUAAAUAUUAAUAGUGAGCCUAUAGAGCCUAUUUCAAGAAAAAAAAAUAGAAUUCAUAUAAAUUCUAAAGCAAAUCAAUUUAUAAUUCGUAUCAACUUGGAAAAAUUAGGGGUGUGUCUAUUUCAAGAAAAAAAGUAGGAAACUAUUGUAUAAUAAAAAUUAGGAAUUUAAGUUAAAACUUUUCUAAAGAAGUCCUGUGUUGCAACACAAACUCCCUUGUCGCGAUAUGGUUGUUGACAUUUAUAUUUUAGGGCUUGAAUUGACAUCCUACACACUCCAAUAGCCUAUUAGUCACCCUCGAGGUUCAUGUUGGCCUAAUGAGAUUUCAAAAUAUUAAAAAGUGCGUAAAAACACUUAUUUUGUAAAUAGUUAAAUCUAAACUGCGAAAGCUGAAAAUGUAAUAAAUAAACAUAAAAUGGUCAAAAAACAAGUUCGUGAAGUGUCAAAAUGUACUAAAACUACCACCACAAUUGACAGCAGGUCACACACCAUGAACGUUAGAUUUGAAUUAAUUCACAAACGGAUUCAGUAUUAAUUCAAAUCGGAUUCAAUUCAAUAUAUUAUUCCUCCAAUGAGUAUAUCUGUAACACCCCUUACCCGAGACCGUUGCCGGAGUCGAGCACGGGGCAUUACUUAGCUUAUUUUACUAAUUCGGAGCAUAAAAAUUUAAUUUGAAAUUUAAUCACUAUUUACAGCAAUCCUACCCAAUCGCGCAGCAGUUACUUAAUUGAUUAUAACUCGAGGUACGGGACUCAAAAUUUAAUUCCGUAAAUUUUCUCUGAAACUAGACUCAUAUAUAUUCCUACCAUAAAAUUUUUAGAAUUUUUGGUUCAACCAAUUAGUGCAGUUUAUUAGUUAAAAUCUCCCCUGUUUCAUCACUCGACUGUCCUGACCUCUUGCCACUAAAAAUAAGUUUUCUCAUCGUAGGAUUUUCAUAUGGUGUUCUCACUUAUUCCUACCAAAAAUAGACUCAAUAAUGAAUCUAUACAUAUAAAUUACAACUUAUAACUAAUUUUGUACGAUUUUUAGUGAUUUUCUAAACUGAGAACAGGGGACUCCAAAAACAGUUCUGACCCUAUCUCACUAAAAUUCACAUAUCUUAAAAUAUAAGUUUCCUUUUGCUAUGCUGUUAUUUUUAUAUGAAAAUAGACUCAACAAGUUUUAAUUCCAUAUAUCAUUCACUCUCUAAUUCAUUUUAUAUUAUCCUAGGUGAUUUUUCAAAGUCACGUCACUGUGCUGCCUGAAUUCUGUUUCUUUGCAAAAUUUUACCCUUUCAUGAUUUCCAUGCAUCAUAUGUCACCUAGACUUUUAUAACAACAAACACCUUCAUACUUAACCAUUUUAAUAACCAUUCAUCAUCAAAUAUUUACAUAUCAUUCUCUAGCAAAAUCAUAAUUACAAACAUGCAAAAUAACUAUAUCCCUAUACAUGCCAUAACUCAAACGUGUUUCAUCCUAAAAUACCGAGUAGUUGUUCUUGAUAGUGUGGAAGAUCUCCGACUUCUUUAGGAUCCCUGAAGCAGCUUUGCAAUACUAUAAGAGAAAGAAAAAUAAAAGAAGUAAGCAUUAAGCUUAGUAAGUUUACUAGCAAAUAAAUAAUAACAUUUAACACAAAUGAUUAAACUCAAAUGUCAAUAUCUCUAAUUUACUCUUUAAUUAAUCUCAUUCUCAUUCUCUUGCUUGUUUACUUAGUUACCUCGUGAUUAUAACUUAUACUUCCGUUACUGAAACGUUGAGUAUCAAUUGAUAAUAUCAUAAGUUCUUAACUCUUAUAACUUACCUGAGCUUGCCACUUAUGCUUUUAACUGAACUUUCAUGAACAUGAGUUGUUUACUAACCCGUUGAGCUACAUUAGAAUAAUAAGGAUACUCGGGUCUCAUCUGAUAAUAACAUGCUAAAGCCAUGUCCCAGACAUGGUCUUACAUGGGAUGUUCUCGUGUCGGUGCCCAUGCCAUGUCCCAGACAUGGUCUUACGGGGGACCUCUCAUCUCAGUGCCAACGUCAUGUCCCAGACAUGGUCUUACAUGGGACCUCUCAUCUCGGUGCCAAUGCCAUGUCCUAGACAUGGUCUUACAUGGGACCUCUCAUCUCGGUGCCAAUGCUAUGUCCCAGACAUGGUCUUACAUGGGGCCUCUCUAUCCAAAUGUCAUGACAUUCAUAUCCAGUACCAUCCUUAUGUAUCAACGGGACUUUUUAAUUUUAAAUCUCUAUCAUUUCAUGCUUGGAUCAUCAUCAAAUAAAUUCAUGAAAUAAAUUCAUAGUUGCUGAAAAAUAGCAGCAUUAAUAAUAAUUAUUGAAAUAUUGCAUUUAUUUAUUGUAAAUUUACCUCGAUACCAAUUAUAGCCAAAUUCACCAAGUUAGCCUUCAACUUUAUUCUUUCAUUUGUCGAACCUCGAGUUUUGUUCUUCUUGAUCUAAAAUAGCAAAUUUAACUCAUUUAAUACUCACAUUUGUUAAAACAGCCCUCGACUCUAACUUUUUCAAAAUUAUGAUUUUGCCCUUAAACUUUUACAUAAUUAUAUUUUUUCCCCAAGGCUCGAAAAUUAAACUUCAUCCCAUAUAUUUAUGUUUUAUGACAUGCUAAACAUUUUUCCCUUCUAUGACAACAUCAAAUUCCCACUCUAACACUUACUUAUAAACAUUAGGUAUUUUUACCGAUUAUGUCAUUUUACUCAUUUUCACUUAAAAUCGGCUAGCAAAAGUUGUUUAACAUAAUUUCUAGCUUCAUAUUCUACCAUAAAACAUCAAAAUAAACACAUUUCACCUAUGGGUAUUUUUUCCAAAUAUAAACCCUAGGUUAAAUUAUUGCUAGAAUAAGCUAAAUUAAGCUACCGGGAUCUCAAAAACGUAAAGAACAUUAAAAACGGGACUUGAGAUCACUUACUAUGGAGCUUGGAAGCUUGAAAACCUUAACUAUGGCUUCCCCCCUUGCUGAUUUCGUCCAAAUGAAGAAGAUGAGCACAAUUUGUCAUCUUCUUCCCUUUUAAUUCAUUUUAAUUACUAGAUUACCAAAUUGUCCCUAACUUAAAAAUUUUCUAUUUCACUUAUCCCAUGUCCAUUUUUGUCUACCAACUUAACCAAUGGUCUAAUUACCAUAUAAGGACCUCCAAUUUAAAGUUUCAUAAAAAUUGGACACCUCUAACAUGUAGAACUCAACUUUUGCACUUUUUACGAUUUAGUCCUUUUAACUAAAUUGAGUGCCCAAACGUCGAAAUUUUUGAAUGAAAUUUUCACGAAAUAAUUUUGUGAAACCUUAGACCAUAAAAAUAUAAGAAAAAUAAAUUUUUCCUCAUCUGAUUUGUGGUCCCGAAACCACUGUUCCGAUAACUUUGAAUUUAGGCCAUUACAAUAUCUAUAUUUUUAUCUGUGGUGUCAAUUGUUGCGAUAGAUAAAAUUAGUCAUCUUUCUAAUUAGAAUUUUAGAUGACAUAAUAAUCAUUUUAAGUCUUUGAAUCAAAUGCACUCUUUGAUUCUUUUACAGGAUUAUGAACUCGUUUAGAUUAUCUAUUAAGGUAAGUUGUCUUUCUUGUAAUGUAAACGUUCUUACAGUGCCACUUAUCGUCUGUUUGAACUUAGAAAAUCAUUGAGCUAACAUUUGUUUAUCACAAUUUUUUUAUUUAUGCAAAAUAUGAAAGACAAAAACACAAAUAUAUAAUAGUGAAAUUUGAAAUUAACUUUAUUUAUUUAUUCAUCGUUCAAGUACAUAGAAAAUAAUUACAUGCUUACUACAAUAUGAACACAUUUCUCAACAAAUUUGGGGGUAAGGGUAAGGGUUGGGGUUCUUUGGGAAUGAACCCAAGUUCUCGUGCUUCCCAAGUUCUCGUGCUUACUAGCUAAUGUUCGUUGCCACUAAGCCAAAAGAUUAUUGGUAAUUUAUAAUAUUUUAUUAAAAUGCUUAAAAGAAUGAUAUUUUUCUUAUUUGAGGGAGAAACUUUCAAUUUGUUGUAUCCUUCAUUUAAAGAUAGGAAAUAAUUGAUAUUAUAUUUGUCUAAUACAUUAAAAUAAAAAUGAUUGAUAAUAUUAACAAAAAAUCAUUAGUGAAGUUUGAAAUAAAAAAAAGUUUAAUCGAUAUGUUGAUAUGAAAAUUAACUUUGAUGGGGUUCGCAGAUGUCCUUUCAAUAAUAUUUUUUAGUAUUCGGAUUUGAACUUUGUUAAAGGUGUAAUAUAUGUUACCACUACACUUAACACUUAUGGAAGAAAUUACAAUUUUAUUUUAAUUUAUUACAUUUCAAUUUAUUUAUGUACCAACGUAAAUAAAUAUAUAAAUUAAUCUAUUGUUAAUUUAGUAAAAAUAAUCAAUUUAAAAUUUUAGGUUAGUCAAAAUUUGGGGAUUGGUGGUAUAAAAAUAAAUAAAAUAAAAGACAUUUAUAUAAUAUAUUAUCAAAUUUUUAUUAAUAAUGCUUUAACUAUACAUUAAAGUAUUUAUAAAAUAUUAUAAUAUUCAAUAACAAAAAGCAGCUUUAUAUAUUUUACUUCAAUACAUUAACAAAGACAUUGACUUUAAUGGUAAUAAAAAUAAUGAUUAUUUUAUUACAAUAAAGAAAAGAAUGAUGAACAAUAAUUUGUUUUAUGAAUUUAAAUAAAAAAAGUAGGGUCUUCAUUUGUGAAUAACAAAUGAUGAAGAAACACAUUUGAAAGUUAAACCAACGACUUCCCAUUCUUCUUCCUCAUCCAAAGCGUUUUUUGCUUCCAAGUUCUCAAACCUGUGUUUCUCAUCAUUUCCACUCUUUGUUUUUGGCUUUCUAAUUCUCGAAUCUGUGUUUCUGAUCAUUUCCUUUUUUGCUUCCAUAUUCUCAAAUCUGUGUUUGUGGUCAUUUCCUUUUUUGCUUCCAUAUUCUGAAAUCUGUGUCUGUGAUCAUACCUUAAAACUUUAAAACUUUCUUUUAUUUCUGAAAUCCAAACUUUCUUCAUACCUUGAUUUCCACUUGGCAAAAGAAACAGCGCAGAGGAUAGUUGAGUGAAGGUAAGUUUUGAGGAACUGCUCCUCAUUGCUAUAUAUUUUCAUGUUUUUGUUGAGUGGAUCUCCGUUUUAUUUAUUGGCAUUCUCAAAUUUCUAUUAGUUUGGUUGGGGUCAUUUUAAGUCACUUGUGAUUUUAUUUUUCAUAAAGAAAGGUUUCAUACAAGUUCCGUCUUAAUUAAAGAGUUUAUAUAUUCAUUUUAAAGAUUUAACAACAACCUUGGAACUAGGGUGAGUAUUUGAUUAAGUCGAGUUUAUCCGAAUAACCUAAUUAACUCAAAUAACUCGAACUAGUUAAAUCAAAAUUUAAAUUUUUUAUCAAAAUUUUCGAAUCGAAUCAGAUUUUACUCAAAGUUGAAGUGUAUGACAUGCGAAUCAAGCAGGAAAGGGGCAAAUGAAGAGUGUCCUUUCUCCAUUCAUUAGUCUUCUCGUUUUUUUCAUUAAACAUUUUAGGGAGCACACAAACUCUAAUUCUAUAGGAACUUAAAAGCAUCCAAUCUAUAAUGGAAAAUGUAGAAAUAAAUAUAAAAUAUGUUUAAGAGAAUGUAAUCCUUUUUAGGAUUUCUUUAUGAGAAAUUGUUUUUGAAAGAAUAUGAUGGUAUUUCACAUACAAAUUAUAGCUCCGAUUUAGAAUGAAUAUAAUGGGAAGAGUAAUUACAUGUAUGCUUAUAUUAUUUGCAUUACAUUAAUUAUUUAUUUAUUUGUGAUAUGAAGGUUAAAACACGCUCUCAAUUUUAUUACCUGCACUAAAUCAAUUCUUUUCAUCUUUUACAGCUACUUAUUUCUCUCAAGCUCUUUUUACUUUCUGGUAUUCGCAGACAGAAACAGAGGUAUUUUCUACCUUCUUCAAUAAUAACAUCUUUGCUUUACAUCAAUAUUUACAGCUUAAUCUUAUUUGGUAGCUUCCACUCGAUUUUUUUACUACAAAUACUGAUUUUAUUUGUCACAAUUGCUUUCAUUUCUCUUUAUGUUAAUUCUUACUAAUAACCAAUGUUUUUGUUCAACCUCAUCAGACUAUCAACAAAAAUGGCCGAAUAUGUUGCCCCUCCUGCUGUCGAAAUUGUGGCAGACCAGGCAAAGGAAUACGCAUCACCCUAUCUUCGUUACUUUUUCCGUUAUGGAGAGAUUGUUGAAGAUUUCAAGAAUCAACGAGAAGCACUUGAAUUAAAGAAAGAGAGGGUGAAAAUUCGUGUCGAUGAGGCUGAAAGGCAAAAUGAGCUCAUCCAUAAGGACGUUGACAACUGGCUUACAAGCGCUGAGAAAGAACUGAAAGAAACCCAGAACUUGAAAGAUGAAAUAGAUCGCGUCAAGUGUUUCAAAUGGUGUCCUAAAUGGGGCUGGCGAUAUUCCUUAAGUAAGAAACUGGCAGAGAAGAUUCCUAUUAUCUCUAAACUUUUACAGACUUCUAACUUUGCACAGGUGGGCUAUCGUCGUCCUCUUCAAGGAAUAGAGUUCAUCACAUCCACUGAUUUCAUGGACUCUGAAUCUUCAAAAUCAGCUUUCAACCAGAUCAUGGAGGCUAUAAAUGCUAAGGGUGUCAACAUGAUCGGACUGCACGGAAUGCCAGGAGUUGGUAAAACAAGUUUAGCCAAAGAAGUUGGGAAGCAUGCUCGAGAACAAAAGUUGUUUGAUAAAGUUGUGAUGUUUACUAUGUCCCAAAAUCCAAACAUCAGAACAAUUCAAGAUAAAGUUGCAGAGAUGUUUGGUUUAAAUUUUCAUACAAAUACCGAAGAAGGGAGAGCAGAAGAGCUAUUCAGGAGUAUGCAAGGCGUGAACAAAAUCCUCGUAAUUGUCGACAACCUCUGGGAAGAAUUCAAAAUGGAGAGUAUCGGAAUUCCAUUCGGUGAUGAACACGAGGGUUGUAAAAUUCUUCUGACUACACGUCGUCAACAAGUCUGCACUAAAAUGAACUGUAAGGAAAUUCAACUUGGCAUCUUAUCCGAAGACGAAGCAUGGGUUUUAUUUCGAGAUAAAGCUGGUUUAGAAGAUGAUUGUUCCACCUUGAAUGAUGUAGCCAAAGAGGUUGCUGCUGAAUGUAAGGGAUUGCCUCUUGCAAUUGUUGUCGUGGCCAAAGCUUUAAAAGGUGAGAGUUUAAAUGGGUGGAGAGACGCAAAUCAGAGAUUCAAGGACUCAACGCUUUUGUAUGAUGAAGAAGUCCUCGGGGGUGUCCUCGAGCCUCUUAAGCUUAGCUACGAUUACUUGAAGAAAGGCAUUAACCAAACAACGGGAAAUCACAUCCAAAUGUGUUUCUUACUGUGUUCCCUUUUUCCUGAAGAUGAAGAAAUCCGUAUUGAGAUAUUGAUUAUGUGCGGAAUUGGAGUAGGAUUGUUCCCUAAUGAUUUCUCGAUUGAAGAAAAAAGGAAGAAAAUUGUUGAAGCACUAAAAAAACUCCAAAAAUCUGGCUUGUUAUUGGAAACUAAUGAUGCAGAUACGAUUAGCAUCCAUGAUGUGAUUCGAGAUUUUGCUCAUUGGCUAACAACAACGGGGGAAAAUAGGUUCAUGGUAAAAGAUACGUUGAAAGAAUGGCCUCGUAUGGAUGAAAGUUAUACUGCAAUCGCUUUAUGGAAUUGUAGUAUUAACAUAAAAAUAUUUCCUGAUAAAGUGGAAUUUUCAAAGCUCAAGAUUUUGUUUCUUCAUUGGGAAGAGUGGCAGGGGGAUGAUUUCCUAGUGGUUUCCGGUACAUUUUUUGAAGAAAUGAAAGCCCUCCAAGUUUUACUUCUCGAAUGUGUCAUUUUCUCACUGAAAGGAUUCCCUCCCUUAGCAAAUCUUAAAACUUUGUGCUGUCAUGAUUGCAUGCUGAAAAACUUCUCAUCAUCACUGACAAAUAUGAGAAGCCUUGAGAUUCUUGCAUUGAUUGACACUGAAAUUGAUGAGAUAAGUGAAGAAUUAGUGAAGUUGUCUGCACUGAAAUAUUUACGUCUUUCUGGUGUUGCAAUUAGAAGAGAAAUAAAUAUCCCCCCAAACUUGGUAUCAAGGUAAGAGUGCAUCAGAUUUAAUUUUCUUUUUAUCAUAUUCGUAUUUUGUUUGACAUCAUUUAUUUUCCUCUUAAUUCUUUAAUUGGUAUUUUAAUUUUAGAAUACUAGUUUUGACAUUAUUUAUCAAUUUAGUCCUUAUUCGGUUUUUAAUUAAAUUUAGUUAUGGACAUUUAAAAAAGAGCAUCAACCUUUUAAAAAAUGUUGAAUUAUUUUUUAACUAAAAUACUAAUUAAAAUGUUAAGUUUUUAAACAUGAACACCCACAUUCCAAUCCAUACUUACUUCAUGCUAUAUUUUUUUUAAUUUUAUGAUUUUUUUGGUUUUUUUAUUUCAAUUUUUUUAUAUUUUUGAAUAUUUUUAUAAAUUUAAAAUUAUUCAUAUAAGACAAAUAAUGUAAUGUCUGAAGUGUAUGUGCAUGUGGAUAGAUAUGUGGGUUGCCAAGGAAAAUAAAAAUUUUUAUUAACUAUAAUUAAGUGUUAUAUAUAUAUAUAUAUUAAAGUAAAUAUUAAAAUAUAUAUAUAAUAUUCAAUAAAAAUUAAUUAAGGAAGUUUAAUACAAUAAAGACUUUAAAUUUUAAUAAAACAUCAAGAUAAAUACUUAAUUUUUUUUUAAUAUUAGAUAUGUUUUAAUAUAUAUAUUAUGGAUAAUGUGUUAUUCAUGUCUCAAUUCAAGUAUAUCAACAUCAGCAAAAUUUUAAAAACAUUAAUUUUUUUAUUCAUUUUGAGAUGAUUUGAUAAAAAAACCACAAAUUUUAAGGUUAUAAAAGGUGAAAUUUUAAAUAGAAGGGUAAAAUGACUUUCUUAUAAAAUUUGAGAGUGAAAAAAAUUAUUAUAAAAAAAACAGAAAAUUUACUUAUGUUUUAGACCCAGAAAUUUUGAGGUAAAUUGUUAAAAAGAAAAAAAAAAUUAACCUCUUGAAAAUUUCUUUGAAAGUGAUAAAAAAAAAUUAGAGAUUUUUUAAAUUUAAUUUUAAUAGUGUCCUUUUAUUACUUAUCUUGAUUUGUUUCAAGUUUUUGUCUCUUUUUUUUUUUUACAUAUUUCUUUUUUAUGAAUUACUUUAAGGAAUUACAAUUUUUUUUUCCUCAUCGAUUUAAUGCUACUUUCUUUAUGAAUGUAAUAGGUUGACUUCACUAGAAGAGUUACAUGUCGUACCCAAAAUUAAUCUCAACUUAUUGGAGUUGAAGUCAUUGUCUCGUUUAACUGCACUAUCAUUGAGACUUUCUACUAAUCAAAUUCCUCUAGAAGAUUUUGUGCUCCCUAAACUACAAAGGUACUCUAUAGUAGUUGGAGAAAAUUAUAGAUUCAAUCGGGAGGCGUUUAGAAGAUUGGAUAUUCAAGAUUUCUCAUCUUCAUUAAGUGCAUUUAACAAUUUAUUUUGCAAUGUGGAAGAGUUGAAUUUGAGGAAUGUUGGUGGACAAAAGAAUAUUGUGCCAAGCAUAGAUGAAAUGGGAGUAAAUGAGUUGACUUCUCUGCAGCUAAAAUCUUGCAAUGAUAUGGAAUUCUUGAUUGAUACAAAAAAUGAUCAAGGGUCAACUGUUGCAUUCUCUAAUUUGGUGGAAUUAAAUAUAGAAAGCAUGGUUUCUUUGAAAGGGUUGUGCAAUGGUGUUUCUCCGACUAGGUUCUUGCAAAACCUUAAGCAAUUGAUCAUUAAAGAUUGUGAGGAGUUAGAAGUGAUAUUUCAAAUAGAUAAACUUUCUGAAAAAAUGAAACGUCAGACACCAUUGCUCUCAAAUUUAACAAUAUUGAGCCUACAUUCAUUGCCGAAAUUGAAGAGGAUAUGGGAAGUAAAGCCAUCCCAUCGUGCAAUUGCAAGCCUCCAAAGUCUAAAGGUUGUGAGAAUUGAAUCUUGUGAUAAUCUGAAAACAAUCUUCUCACCUUGCCUAGCUUUAAGUAUGUUGCAUCUACAAGAACUUGAUAUAAGGUACUGCAAUCGACUAGAGCAAGUCAUUGGUUUUGGCCAAGAAGACGAGAUUAUUGAGGUAGGGAUACCUAUUCUCUCCAAUUUUUUUAAUCUUCUUAAUUGUUUUAGCUUUAUGAUAGCAUUCUUUUAAGGAUGAAACAAAUUGCAAGAAAACCAAAAACCAAUUUGAAGUGAAGUGCUUGGUUUGGUAUUUAUUUUUAUAUUAUUUAUAUGUAUCGGGUUUGUUGGAAGCGUAGUGGCCACUAAAGAAAGUAACUUUUAUUACUCAAAACAAAUAUAUUUUCCUCUUCCUUUCAAUUACUACCUACAACUAGUCAUACACACCAUUCACUCUUUGCUUAUUUCCACUUUCAUGCACACAAAGUCACACACCUUUAUUUUGUUUCACACUCUUCCUUUUCUUCUCAUCCGCACGCUUGCUUAUACAUAUCACAAACAUAUUAAACCUAUUUGUAGGCUUAUAAACUGCAUCAUGAAUUGUUGUGUCUCUCCUUUUUAUUUAGAUUUUAUUGCUUUAUAGAAAAGCCUUCAAUUAAUUCCAUGCCACCUUUCUUCUAUCCUUGGAUUGCUAACUUACAAGGCCGGUUUGGUUUGAUAUUAUUGAAAAAUAUGAAACUAGCAUUUUGGUGUUAGAGGGAGUGCCUCUAUCCCUAGAGCACCAAAUCAAUAUAGAGAAAAUCUCCAUAUUUAUUAUAUUAUAUUGACAACUCAUUGAAUGACUUUUAUGGGCUAUGAGUACUGAGUCUAUGGUUGAUUUUUAGCCCAUUAUAGAAGAUCAUGCCACUUGAAAUAUUAUUUUUUGAAAAUUUGAUUGAUUCAAAAUUGCUCAAAAUAAUCUCUUGGAUCAUGAACUUUGUGAUUCUAUAUGAAAUUUAAAAUAAAUAACUUACUAAAAUGUGUUUGAAAUAUGCAGAAUGAUUGUCUUCUUUAUUGCUGGCCGAAAUUGAGAGAUCUAUACAUACAAGACUGUGAAAGUUUGAAAUAUAUUUCUACAAACACUUUGAUUCAAUCCUUGGAAUCUGUUCACAUAUUGAAUUGUCAUCAACUUAUACAAAUCUACAACAUGGAACAAAACAUUGUGCUUCCUGAACUUGGAUCACAGGUACUUUUAAUGAUUAAUAUUUUAAAAUUCAUAGAGUAUUUUUGCUUUCAUUUAUUUUUAAUGAAUAUUACUAUAUAUAUGUUUACAUAUUAUUACUUUUUAUAAUUGUAAUUUAUUGAUUUUUGAAAUUCUAAGUAUUCAAACAAACCGAUGCAGCCUUUAGCUUUUGUUCAAGAGCCACGCUCUUUAUUAUUUGUAUACUAAAAAUUAAAAUAGAGAAAUAUUAUAUAUUUAUUUUCUCAUGAUGUUACGCUUGAAUAUGUUUUUUUUAUAUUUUAUUUUAAUGUAAUAUAAUAAUUAUAUUUUAGAAAUUUAUUGAAUUAAUUUACCUUAUUAUGAUUUUUGUUUUGCUUUGAUAAUAUAUGUGAGAUAUUAAAAUUAGUGUGUGUAUAAAUAUAUAUUUAUAUCAUUGUACAAUCAAUUUAUUUUAGUGGUUAGAUUAAACUAACAAAUAUUAUUGGAUGACAGGAAUCUCUGGCAAAUUUAAAGUUAAUAUUAUUGCCAGGAUUGAAGUACAUGUGGAAUGGACCGAACCAUUACCUCCAUAGAGUAGAGAUAACUGAAUGUGAUAAAUUCACAUAUCUCUUUUCGGAAAUCACUGCUCGAACUUUGGUGCAUUUGCAAUUUCUCGAGAUUCGGAAUUGCAACUCUUUAGAACAUUUAAUCGGAGAAGCAGAAAACAUGGAUGAAAUAGAUGUUUCAAACAUAAAAGAUCAGUCUCCUCUGUUCUUGCCAAAAUUGAAACGUGUCACGAUUAUAAGAUGUGAAAACUUGAAAUAUUUGUGUUCAAGUCAAGGACUUCCCUACCUGGAAUCUAUUCAUAUAGAAGAUUGUCCUCGACUUACACAAAUCUUCAACAUGGAAAAAAAUAAGGAUGGAUUUAGAUUACAGGUAUUUGGACUCAAAUUCAUUUUUAUGUUCAUAAAAUAAUUAAUAUUUCAACCUUAUUUUAAAAGCUAUUUAUAAUUCAUUUAUUUUAAAAUUGAAUUAGCGAUUAGAAUUCUAUCACUCUCAUCGGCUAUUACCAUGAGUAUUGUAUUUUUGUUUUUCUUCAUAUCACAAAUAUAUGAAACCUUAUUAUAGGCUCAAAAAUCACCUCAUCAAUUGCCACCUCUCUCAUUUUAUGUUUAUUUUAUUUAUUUAUGGAUAAGCCUUCAAUUAAUUCCAUGCCACCUUGACUUUUGCCUAUGGAUUGCCCACUUAUAAGGUUUGUUUGACUUCAACACAAUUUACAUGAUAGAAGAAUGUAAUUAUUUAUAUAGAAGGAAAUUCUAUCUUUUAUUUAAUUUAUAAUAAUGCUUUAAUAUUUUUAUAAUUUAAAAUAAAUAUUUGCAUUUAAGUUGCUAAUGAUGUUUUAGUCUAAUAACAAAAUUAUUAUAUCUUAGAUAUUAACAAACAAUUUCAUUCUGCAUUCCUAAUUAUAAAAAAUAAAUUUAAUUUUAUUUAUUUCGAUUGUGUGUUUUAUAAACAGCUAUAAAAGAAACUAAAAGAAACUAAGCAGCAUAUACAUGUUUUUAUAUUUUAUCUUUUAAUUAAUAAUCUAUUUUUAUAUUGUUAUGCUCAAUUUUUUUAUAAUAAAAUAAAUAACUUACUAAGAUGUGUGUUUGAAACAUGUAGAAUGACUCUCCUCUUUGUUGUUGGCCGAAAUUGAGGAGUCUUCGCCUACAAUAUUGCCGAAAUUUAAAAUAUGUUUGUGCGACCACUUGGACUCAAGGGCUUCAAUCCUUGGAAUCUGUUUACAUAAGAGAUUGUUCUCAACUUAUACAAGUCUUCAACAUGGAACAAAAUAAGCAUGGACAAGAUAUUGUGCUUCCUGAACUUGGAUCACAGGUACUUCUGUAUUUACAUUUUUAAGGCUGAGCAAAGAGUUGAAAAAAUUGAAAGUUAAUAUGAAUUGUAGUGUUCAAUUCAAUUUUUUUAUUGAGUUUAAAUCAAAUAAAACAUGCACGUACCAUAUGACAACCAUUUAAAAAUAUAAAAAGUUAUAAUUUAAAAAUUAAAUUACAACUAUAUGUUUUUAAAAUUAGUAUAUCAAAUUAAUUUAUAAAUUUUUAUUAUCAAAUACUAAUAUACUGUAAUAUUCAUAUCAUAAAUAGUAAAAAUUAAAAUAGAGAAAUAUUAUAUAUUUAUUUUCUAUUGAUAUUAAGCUUUAAUAUAUUUAUUUAUAUUUUAUAUUUAUUUAAUAUAAUAAUGAUUAUUUAAAUUAUAUUUUAGAAAAUUAUUAAAUUAAUUUACCAUUAAAUGAUUUUUUUUUGCAAGGCUACCAUAUUUUAAUUUGAUAAUUUAUGUGAGAUAUUAAAACAGUGAGAUAUUAAUUUACCAUUAAAUAAUUUAUGAUUAUUUAAAUAUAACUAUUUAAAUUAUAUUUUGAGAUAUUUGUUUUAGAAAAUGCAUCAAGAAUUGUUGUCUCUCAUUUUUAUUUAGAUUUUAUCUAUUUAUAGAAAAGCCUUUAAUUAAUUCCAUGCCACUUUAUUCUACCUUUAGAUUGCUAACUUACAAGGUCAGUUUGAUAUUGUUGAAAAAUAUCAAACUCACAUUAUUUUAAUGUCAAAGGAAGUAUUCAUUCCCUAAAGCACCAAAUUGAUAUGGAGACCUUUGAGUUAUCUUUUGGAGAUUGGAUUAAUUUAAAAGCCCAAGACAAUCUCUUGGAUCAUAGACUUUGAGUUAGCUUAUUGCUUUUUUGGGGAGACACCAUGUGCAUCUAACCAUUGGUAUGCUAAAAGAAACUAAGCUGCAUAUACAUGUUUUUAUAUUUUAUCUUUUAAUUAAUAAUCUAUUUUUAUAUUGUUAUGCUCAAUUUUUUUAUAAUAAAAUAAAUAACUUACUAAGAUGUCUGUUUGAUACAUGUAGAAUGACUCCCCUCUUUGUUGUUGGCCGAAAUUGAGGAUUCUUCACAUAGAAUUUUGCCCAAAAUUGAAAUAUGUUUGUGCAAACACUUGGACUCGAGGGCUUCAAUCCUUGGAAUCUGUUUUCAUUAGAGAUUGUUCUCAACUUAUACAAGUCUUCAACAUGGAACAAAAUAAGCAUGGACAAGAUAUUGUGCUUCCUGAACUUGGAUCACAGGUACUUCUGUAUUUACAUUUUUAAGGCUGAGCAAAGACUUGAAAAAAUUGAAAAUUAAUUUGAAUUGUAGGGUUCAAUUCAAUUUUUUAUUGAGUUUAAAUCAAAUAGAACAUGCACGUACCAUAUGACAACCAUUUAAAAAUAUAAAAAGUUAUAAUUUAAAAAUUAAAUUACAACUAUAUGUUUUUAAAAUUAGUAUAUCAAAUUAAUUUAAAAUUUUUAUUAUCAAAUACUAAUAUACUAUAAUAUUCAUAUUAUAAAUAAUUCAUGCAUAAUUAUAAAUAGUAAAAAUUAAAAUAGAGAAAUAUUAUAUAUUUAUUUUCUAUUGAUGUUAAGAUUUAAUAUAUUUAUUUAAUAUAGUAAUGAUUAUUUAAAUUAUAUUUUAGAAAAUUGUUAAAUUAAUUUACCAUUAUAUGAUUUGUUUUUGCAAGAUUACCAUAUUUUAAUUUGAUAAUUCAUGUGAGAUAUUAAAACAGUGUUUGUAUAAAUAUAUAUUGAUAUCAUUGUAGAAUGAAUUUAUUUGAGUAGUGGUUAGUUCUACCUAAUAAAUAUUAUUUGAUGGCAAGAAUUUUGGUAAAUUUAACUAAUAAAUAUUGAUAUCAUUGACGGAAUUGAGGUGCAUAUGGAAUGAAUCGAAUCAUUGCGUUAACCUCUAUAGUCUGAAGACUAUUAGAAUAACUUAUCAAAGUCCAUUUUUAGAUAUUAAUAUUUUUAUUCAAAACUUCGGGUUGGAUUAAAAAAAAUUGUUUUCAUAAUUCUUUGAUUUAAAAGUUGAACGAGUAUCAGAGUUCAAUCUCUCUCAUCGACUUUUACAAUGAAUAUUGUAUUUUUAUAUUUUAAUUGUCAUGAUUAAUGAUUUUGAAGUGGUUGGGGCAUCACAGUUUCAAAAUAUAAUAAAUGUAUCUCUUUAUAAUUGGUACAUUCAAAGAUCAAUUGAUUUCUUUUUCUUAUGUUUUGGUAAAGAAAUUCUUUAAAAAUUAAAUUAUGUUUAAUAAAUCAUAUUCCUCAUUUUUAUUUAAACAAAUAUAUUUUGUAUAAUAUUUAAUUAUGUGGCUCAUUCAUGUAGAAUCAUUGCUGGACAAAACUGAAAACUCUCCAGAUAGAGCAUUGCCAACUAUUGAAAUAUGUGUUUGCAAACACUUUAUCUCAGGGAUUUCCAUUGUUGGAAUCUCUUUACCUAAAGAAUUGCCCUCAACUACUACAAGUCUUCAGUUCGACAGAAGAAAGGGAUGUGAUUGGUGAUCACAUUCUACUUAAUGUGCCCUUUCUGAAAAAUUUAGAAGUGUCAAAUUGUCCCCAAAUCUCAUGCUUCAUUGUACAAGCUCAGCUCAUAGAGGUAUUUAGAUUGUUCGCAUUUUAUAUAUGGAUUUUGGCACUAUAGCAAAUCAGUAAAUCGAUAUGUUGCUUAGUUUAUGUGAUAAUUCAUUCCUAUUUUAUACAUAGUUUGAAAAUGAAUUCCAUUGUUCACUCUUUAAAUAAAAAUGUAUCAAGCAAUGGCCUUUUGUGUUUAAUUAAUUUGGAAGAUAUUUUAGGGGUUUAGAUUUUAAAAAUAUAUCCUUUAAAAAAAUCAAAGAUACAUGUAGCAUUGAGAUUAGAGAAGUAGUAUUUUCUAUUACUUGGAAUAUGUAAAAUUAUGAAGACUUAUGGAUAACAUUUACUCUAGUGUGUUUUUAUGACAUUUAUUAGGAUUUCUAUGUAUGCAAGAAUUGGUUCUUAGUAACGUGGGAAAUAGCCGCCAAUUAUGCAACACUGAUGUUCCUGUAUUGAAUGAAGGCUAUAUAGUAGUUGGGAAUCAUGAAGAAGUAUUUCCAGUUCAAGGCGGGUACUCGUUCUCAAGCAUAAAAAAAUUGAAAUUGAGGAAUUUAUUUGAAGCACGGGUUAUAUGGAACAAUUUUGCUCAAGUUGUAACCCUUGAGAACCUUACAACUCUAACACUGAGUGAUUGCAAGAAGCUAAGAUAUAUUUUUUCACCUAUGAUGGCUCGCAGUUUAUCACAUUUGAAGUAUCUUUCCAUCGAGGGGUGUGAGGAAAUAGAACGACUCAUUUUAGACAAGGAUCAAGUUUCUUCAUCAUCAUCAAAUGGUGAUACUAGCCUCCAACCUAUGAGCUUUCCAAAUUUGACUGAGAUUGUUGUUAUAGAUUGUAAAAAUUUGAGCAGUCUCUUUCCUUUUGGAUUUGCUCCUGUUCUUCCAAAGCUUGAAAGGCUCAUAGUAGAAAGAAAUUCUAAAUUGGAACAAGUAUUCGA
rnacentral:lncRNA from 1 species